GCUGGGUGCUGAACUGGAGAACACGAGCGAACGCGCGAGUGCAAAGCACGGAGCAGAAGCGAUCCCGCGAGGCGGGAUUCGCUGAGCAACA
rnacentral:SRP_RNA from 1 species